AAUGGAGAUUUGAUCCUGGCUCAGGACGAACGCUGGCGGCGUGCCUAAUACAUGCAAGUCGAGCGGACCGACGGGAGCUUGCUCCCUUAGGUCAGCGGCGGACGGGUGAGUAACACGUGGGUAACCUGCCUGUAAGACUGGGAUAACUCCGGGAAACCGGGGCUAAUACCGGAUGCUUGAUUGAACCGCAUGGUUCAAUCAUAAAAGGUGGCUUUUAGCUACCACUUACAGAUGGACCCGCGGCGCAUUAGCUAGUUGGUGAGGUAACGGCUCACCAAGGCGACGAUGCGUAGCCGACCUGAGAGGGUGAUCGGCCACACUGGGGCUGAGACACGGCCCAGACUCCUACGGGAGGCAGCAGUAGGGAAUCUUCCGCAAUGGACGAAAGUCUGACGGAGCAACGCCGCGUGAGUGAUGAAGGUUUUCGGAUCGUAAAACUCUGUUGUUAGGGAAGAACAAGUACCGUUCGAAUAGGGCGGUACCUUGACGGUACCUAACCAGAAAGCCACGGCUAACUACGUGCCAGCAGCCGCGGUAAUACGUAGGUGGGCAAGCGUUGUCCGGAAUUAUUGGGCGUAAAGCGCGCGCAGGCGGUUUCUUAAGUCUGAUGUGAAAGCCCCCGGCUCAACNGGGGAGGGUCAUUGGAAACUGGGGAACUUGAGUGCAGAAGAGGAGAGUGGAAUUCCACGUGUAGCGGUGAAAUGCGUAGAGAUG
rnacentral:rRNA from 1 species